GACGGAGGGUGCUAGCGUUGUUCGGAAUUACUGGGCGUAAAGGGCGCGUAGGCGGCCCGGUUAGUCGGAUGUGAAAGCCCGGGGCUCAACCUCGGAACUGCAUUCGAAACUGCCAGGCUCGAGGACGGAAGAGGAGAGUGGAAUACCCAGUGUAGAGGUGAAAUUCGUAGAUAUUGGGUGGAACACCGGUGGCGAAAGCGGCUCUCUGGUCCGGUUCUGACGCUGAGGCGCGAAAGCGUGGGGAGCAAACAGG
rnacentral:rRNA from 1 species